rnacentral:rRNA from 1 species
ACGGGUGAGUAACACGUAAGGAACCUGCCUCAAGGAUUGGGAUAACUCCGAGAAAUCGGAGCUAAUACCGGAUAGUUCAACGGACCGCAUGGUCCGCUGAUGAAAGGCGCUCCGGCGUCACCUUGAGAUGGCCUUGCGGUGCAUUAGCUAGUUGGUGGGGUAAUGGCCCACCAAGGCGACGAUGCAUAGCCGACCUGAGAGGGUGAUCGGCCACACUGGGACUGAGACACGGCCCAGACUCCUACGGGAGGCAGCAGUAGGGAAUCUUCCACAAUGGACGAAAGUCUGAUGGAGCAACGCCGCGUGAGUGAUGAAGGUUUUCGGAUCGUAAAACUCUGUUGUAAGGGAAGAACACGUACGAGAGGGAAUGCUCGUACCUUGACGGUAUCUUACGAGAAAGCCACGGCUAACUACGUGCCAGCAGCCGCGGUAAUACGUAGGUGGCAAGCGUUGUCCGGAAUUAUUGGGCGUAAAGCGCGCGCAGGCGGCCUUUUAAGUCUGAUGUGAAAGCCCCCGGCUCAACCGGGGAGGGCCAUUGGAAACUGGAAGGCUUGAGUACAGAAGAGAA